rnacentral:rRNA from 1 species
UACGAAGGGGGCUAGCGUUGUUCGGAUUCACUGGGCGUAAAGGGUGCGUAGGUGGUGAGGUAAGUCGGAUGUGAAAUCUCCGAGCUCAACUCGGAAAUGGCAUUGGAAACUACCUUGCUCGAGGGUUGGAGGGGGGACUGGAAUGCUUGGUGUAGCAGUGAAAUGCGUAGAUAUCAAGCGGAACACCAGUGGCGAAGGCGAGUCCCUGGACAACUCCUGACACUGAGGCACGAAAGCUAGGGGAGCAAACAGG